AUAUUUAAAAACUCGCGAAAUGUAAUCAAUACUCCCAUAGGUUAGCGGAGCAGGUGUUUAUUACGUGUGCGUUUUUUAUACAAACUUAAUUAUUACGCGAUCACUUAUCAUCAUGUUUGUUCUGUGAUAAGUCCAACAUCUGUGUUAUUGCAUAUUUUACCUGGAUAACUUACAAUUACUGCGAAAUCUCCCCUCGGAAAGCCUUGGUCAGACCAACUUGUGGAAAAUUUGCAAUAUGAAGGUAAACUCAGGUGGUUUGACGUUUCGGCCAACUGUCGUCCAUCUUCUAUCUCGCUCGGUGGUUUCCUAUUUGUCAUAAUAUGCAUUUGCGCGAAUGCACAAAAGGGCCUAUUUGUUUUUUUAAAUUACCCAUAUUUCUCAAAUAAAUAUUUAUGUGUUGCUUUAAAUGAUGGAAAUUACAUACGCAAACAAACUAA